rnacentral:rRNA from 1 species
UACGGAGGGGGCUAGCGUUGUUCGGAAUUACUGGGCGUAAAGCGCGCGUAGGCGGCUUUGUAAGUUAGAGGUGAAAGCCCGGAGCUCAACUCCGGAAUUGCCUUUAAGACUGCAUCGCUUGAAUCCAGGAGAGGUGAGUGGAAUUCCGAGUGUAGAGGUGAAAUUCGUAGAUAUUCGGAAGAACACCAGUGGCGAAGGCGGCUCACUGGACUGGUAUUGACGCUGAGGUGCGAAAGCGUGGGGAGCAAACAGG